UCGGGAAUUUUGGGCAAUGGGCGAAAGCCUGACCCAGCAACGCCGCGUGAGGGAUGAAGUAUUUCGGUAUGUAAACCUCGAAAGAAUGGGAAGAAUAAAUGACGGUACCAUUUAUAAGCUCCGGCUAACUACGUGCCAGCAGCCGCGGUAAUACGUAGGGAGCAAGCGUUGUUCGGAUUUACUGGGCGUAAAGGGCGCGUAGGCGGCGCGGUAAGUCACUUGUGAAAUCUCUGAGCUUAACUCAGAACGGCCAAGUGAUACUGCUGUUCUAGAGUGCGGAAGAGGCAACCGGAAUUCUUGGUGUAGCGGUGAAAUGGGUAGAUAUCAAGAGGAACACCUGAGGCGAAGGCGGGUUGCUGGGCCGACACUGACGCUGAUGCGCGAAAGCCAGGGGAGCAAACG
rnacentral:rRNA from 1 species